AUUGCUUCAGGAUUUUUCUGCAGCUGUUUUCAGAAGUCACUUGGAGAGACUUCACUGUUCUACAGGUUCACUCUGAGACUUUCUCAAAACAGGAAAAUGUGUUUGUUAUGAAACAUGAUAAGUGAUUAAUCCAGCGAUGAGAAACAAGUGUAAUUGGUACGUUAGCUAAUCUCUGACCUUCUUAACGUGUGACCAUAAAGACUGAACAUGGUGCUCCUGAUGUGAUUUGACAUGGGUGGAUAUAAAACAGCAAAGUUCUGAUUCUCAAUGAUAAAAGGACACAUUAUUACCUUGGUUUUGAUCUCUAAAAGAAAUGUGUAUUAUAUUGUUAUGUUACGAUAUGAUAUGAUAUAUGAUAUGUGAUAUGAUAUAAUAUGACAUAUUAGUCCUUUGCUAUAGCUAGCUCAUCCCCACCCCAGAUAUGAUGGAAGCAGAGAGAGAAGGGAAUAGUACAAUAU